UACGUAGGGUGCAAGCGUUGUCCGGAAUCACUGGGCUUAAAGCGUGUGUAGGCGGAUUUUUAAGUACCUUGUGAAAUCCCAUGGCUUAACCAUGGAACUGUUGGGCAUACUGCGGGUCUUGGGCCAACUAGGGGCAGCCGGAACAAGCGGUGGAGCGGUGAAAUGCGUAGAUAUCGCUUGGAACGCCGAAGGUGAAAACAGGCUGCUGGGGUUGCGCCGACGCUGAGACACGAAAGCCAGGGGAGCAAACGGG
rnacentral:rRNA from 1 species